AAAAAGAGAGGAGCAGAGAGGCAGGCUUUGCCUUUUCUGGUAGUUAAAGUCGCUGAAAGAACAAGCAGGAAUUCUUUGUGCUGCAGAAGGGCUGAGAUAUAAACCAGACAGUAGAAGCUGAUAUAUGACAGGAGGCAACACAUUGUUGCCAAUGGACUAAACUUUAGCUACUGCUAAGUGAGGAAGAGAGGGGAAUCUUUUGGGCAUCAUGGACGAUGACUUUGACCGCCGCAUGGAGCUGAGGAGGCAGAGGAGAGAGCAGAUGCGCCUGGAAACUGAAAAGGGAGGUUUCGCCAAUGACGAUGACGAGGAGGAAGCUCGGGAGCGAAGGAGGCGUGCGAGGGAGGAGCGGAAGAAGAUGAGAGAUUUAGAGGAAUCUGGAACCACUGAUGUGAUCAAUACUAACAGCGUGACGGAGACCGAAUCCUCCACGGCCGGUACUGAAGGAGCAGAUGAUGACCAGGCUUUGCUGGAGCGCCUGGCCAAGAGAGAGGAGCGCCGGCAGAAGAGGAUGCAGGAGGCCAUAGAGAGACAGAAGGAACUCGACCCCACAGUUGGCACCACCAACGGUACGGAGGAGGCGGAGGAUCAGACCUCCAUCGACAGCAGCAGACAGCAACAUACAGAGGAUGAGGAGGACAAAAAGGAGGAGAAAUCUGCCGAGGAGGAGGUAGCAGACGCUGAUACCAACUCAUGGAGGAAGGACGAAGAAGAUAAGAAGGAGGAUGAGAAGGAAUCUGUUGAAGAAUCAACACCGACCAAAACAAAUGAAGAGGAGAUUGAGGAGAAAACUGUGGCAGCAGAGGUGGAGGAGGAAAAACCCAUUUCAGAAUACAAAGAAGCUGAAGAAGAAGCUGCUCCUGAUGUUGACAAUGAGGAAGAAGAAAGGAAGAGGAAAGAAGAAGAGGAGAGGCAGCAAAAAGAAAUGGAAGAAAAGCAGAGGAUAGAAGAGGAGGAGAGACAGCAAAGAGAAAUGGAAGAAAAGCUUAAAAAAGAGGAGGAAGAAAGGCAGCUGAGAGAGGAGGAGGAAAGGAAGAAGAGAGAAGAAGAGGAAAAACAACAAAAAGAAAUGGAAGAGCGGCUUAAAGAAGAGGAAGAAGAAAAACAGAGAAAGGAGAUGGAAGAAAAGAAGAAAAAAGAAGAGGAAGAGCAGAAACAGGAGAUGGAGGAGAGACAGAAGAGAGAAGAGGAGGAAAGGCAGAAACGGGAGAUGGAAGAGAGAUUGAAAAAGGAGGAGGAAAAAAAACUAAGAAAGGAGCAGGAGGAAAAAAAGAAGAAAGAGGAAGAGGAAAAACGAAAAAAGGAAAUAGAGGAAAAGAAGAAAAAGGAGGAGGAAGAGAAGCGAAAGAAGAAAGAGCUGGAGGAGAAGAAGAAGAAGGAGGAGGAGGAGAAACGGAAAAAAGAGAUGGAAGAAAAGAAGAAAGAAGAGGAGGAAAAGAGGAAAAAGGAGGCUGAGGAGAAGAAGAAAAAAGAGGAAGAGGAGAAACGCAAAAAGAAAGAGAUGGAAGAGAAGAAGAAGAAAGAGGAGGAGGAGAAGCCAAAGAGAUUUGGGUUUAAGGAGAAGAAUGAACCAGCAAAACAGAACGGCGCUCUCGCUGAGAAUAAAUUCAAGAAAUUGGAAAAGACAUCAAGAGACAACACCAAGGCAGAUGAUGUGGAGCGACAGGAGGCUGAGCGGAAACUGCAGGAGCUGAAGAGGCGACGAAACAACGCAGAAAGUGAGGAGUUUGAGAAGAUGAAGCAGAAACAGCAGGACGCAGAGGCCGAGCUGGAGGAGCUGAAGAGGAAGAGAGAGGAGAGGAGGAAGAUCCUGGAGGAGGAGGAGAAACAGAAGAAACAGGAGCAGGACGACAAGAAAGCCAAAGAGCAGGAGGAGAGGAAGAGGAUGAAGGAGGAGAUUGAGAAGAGGAGGGCUGAGGCUGCAGAGAAGAAGAAACAGAAGGAGGAAGAGUCCACAUCAACUGCUUUUGCUAUCAGUCCUAAAGGCUCCUCUAAGAUCGGUGAGAAGGCAGAAUUCCUGAGCAAAUCAGCCCAGAAAAGCACCACACCCAGAGUUUCACACACUCCAAUUGUCUCCAGGAUUGGCAACAGAUUGGAACAGUACAACACUGCCAUCCAGGGAAACAAAGAUGUAAAAUCCCCAAAGUCUCCGAUGGCAGAUAUUCCUAGUGGAGGCACACGUAGCAUCAAAAGCAUGUGGGAGAAAGGAAACAUCGGAAGUCCCUCUGAAAGUCCAGCUCCUCCAAACAAGGAUUUGGCUGGAAUCAAAGGAGGUGUGUCUGGACGAGUCAACAGUUGGAUGGCGAAGCCUGCAGAGGUGGAGAAGACAUCAGCACCAACACCUGCAGCAGCAGCAGCAGCAGCAUCACCAGCAGCAGCAGCAAAGCCAGCAGAUGUGAAACCAAGUGACAUCGGUAGCAAGCGUGGCAUGUGGGAAACCAAGAAGGCCUCUACGCCUGGCAAGUUCAAAUAGAUGGAUGAAUUCAUGGAGGUAAUUUGUGGAUCUGUGAGAACAACACCGAAUGCACGUUUCACCAGGUGGCAAUUGGAAGCAAGUUUGUCACUAAUGCAGGCAUCCGACGCUAACUGUUGACAUCCCUGUUAAAUCAAGUCCUACCUGAGCAAACACAGGGCUCUGCUACUGUUUGUGCAUCUGUUCAACUUCACCACACCUGCAUUUCGCUUGAGGAUCACACCUGAAUAAGGAAAAGAGGAGGGUCUUUAUCUUCACAGUAUGAGUAACUUUACACCACUGCCGACUUAAGAUUAGCCAACCUUUGAGAUGGUCCCUCAAAAAUGAAAAGAUAUUGAUGUGCUUUUAGCAUCUUUCACUUGAUUUUUGGCUCAAAGAUUUUCAAAGAACACCCAGUCGGAGUCUUUUUGGAUACUUUGCUUUCAACCCACACCAACAUGUUCGUUGUUCUUAUAAUGUAUUUGAUGGUAAUGCCAUAUAGCUUUUACGAAGUAAUACGCAUUUUUGCUUUGUGGUUACUUAUACUCACUGCUUUUUGUGAUGACAGUCACAGUUUUGAGACCGUAGAAAGUAUCCGACCACUCAGCAAUACGCUGGGUGAUAAGCAUGUACAUAAUUUUGUUUCAUGAGGUGGUACCACUUUCUGCUAAGAAGCUCUUCAUAAAGGGUUUAUAAAUAAUAAAAAAUAACUAUUCCAGUGGUUAAUGUAUCCUGUAUUAUCGCUUUAUAGAUCAGUUAGAAGCCAUCAAUGAGAACAGCUUUUGGAGUAAAGGAACUCCUCUGGCCUGUGUUCAUACUUUUGGUACCACUUUUUAAUAAGGAAUCAUUGUGCUCAAUGACUUCAGGCUUAAUUAUUCACCGACUAUAGCAUGAUAGAUGAAAUAAUAAGCACAAUACUAAAGUUGCCAGAGGACAGCAGAAUAGACCAAUUGGUUUUUCACUUCAAGAAGGAAACGUCAACAUCUUCUGGAUGGAUUGCAAUGAAAGUUUGUACAAGUAUCUACGUUCACCACAAGACACUUAGAAAUAAUUUAAGUUAUUCUAUGACUUCCAUGUAGUGUCAUCACCAGGUCAAUAUCUAAAUGUGUCUAAGACUUUGGUUGAACUGCAAAAACCUGCAUAGCUAAUGAUUUUCCUGUGAUGCUUUAGCUUAUUGCAAAGGAAAUGUCAGCAUACCAACAGGCUAAACCAAAAUGGAAAACAUGUUAAUGUCAUAUCUGCUAAACAUCACCAUAUCUGUGGUCCUGUGUUGCAUGACAUUAGCAUUUAGCUCAAAACACAUACACUUAUCCCCUUAUAAGCUUUGGCCAAAGUCCAUUUAUCAACAUCUAACUAACUUUAACAUCUGAGUGGAUAAUUGAGUCUUUAAUGGGGUUUUAGCAUUUAUAGCUUCAGACAUGAUGUCUUAUUGAGAGAUGAGUCCCAUUAGUUGCUAAGUUUAUAAAGCCUUUAUGAAGAGGGUAGUAUUACAAGGUGGUACUAAAGAGUCAACCUCAGACCAGAAGAUACUAUCAGUGGCACAUUCUGCUCAGGACUGCAGCCAAAGAACAACAGUGUGCAACAUUUCUGUGAAAAACACCUGAGUUUGUUACCUUCUGGCCUUGUAUCAGUAAAAAAAAAAAUCACAUUUUUUUUGUAAUAUAAACACCAUCAAAGUCCAUUAAUACUUGUUCAUGCAAUUAUCUACUGCAACAAAUAUCCAGUGACCAAAUCUAUUCAACAAGCAGGGUUAGGGUUAGUCUGACAUCUUCCUUAUCUAUCUCUCAUUUACAAGCCACUCAUUUUUUCAGUUCUAUUUGCAUUGCAGUAACAGUGAAGGUUUUCAAUUGCAUUUUUCAGUCUGUUUUAUCAAAGCCUGUAAUUCAGUGUGUCUGUCAGCAGUGCACUUGAGUGGAUUCCUGCUAGAAUGUAUUGUGAGUCUUUCAUUAUUGUUGUAGUGGUUUGAUCUGUUUGAAAUUAUUGUUUGUACGGCUUCAGCAAUAAAAAAAAAUUAAAAAACAGAAAAACAGUU